UUUUUAUCUGGAGCCUAUGUACUUACAUCUCCUCCUCUGCCUACCCCUCUUACAGUCCAUUGAAAGAAUAAAAAUGGUAAAAAAAAGAAAACCGCUGUAGGACUACUGGAAAAGAGAGAAAAGGCUACUUUUUAUACCAUUGACAUAUAAGAAAUGUAGAACUUCUGGAGUGUGUGAAACACAGGGAACCACACUGAAACCAAACUAAUCAGACUUGCAUAGCAGCAGCACCAUAUGGCAGUGACAGCACCUUCUGCAAGAAGAGAAACUCUAAACCAAUUACAACAAUAUCAUUUCUGUGUUGAACCAUAAGUCAUUGGAAACCCACUGCAACCAUGCUUCCAUAAUAGCAGCUGGAAUCUCCAAUUCUACAGAGAAAAGGAAUGUUGAAGUAACAUACAUGUAGCUUUGAGGAGGAGGCACGUGCAUUCAAGCUCAUGGAGAGGAUUGACAGCCACAGACAGGCACUCAUAAGAACUGAAUGUAAAUCAUCAAAGAGAAUAUACUCAGGAGGCACUGUCUACCAUAGAGGGAAGGAAGAUGAGAUGGGUCAUUGGUGUCUUCCCACAACUUCAUACAUCUGCUGACAAUUGCCAAAUUUGGAGUCAUGUGAAAAGAGACGGGCUGAGUAAGAAAGAUCAGAGGAUAUCUUUGACAGUCACUUCUGGAUGGAAUGCAGUCGUGCAAUCCUAGCUAACAUAACCUCCAACUCCUGGGCUUGGGAUCUUCCACGUCAGCCUCCCAAAUAGC
rnacentral:lncRNA from 1 species